rnacentral:snRNA from 1 species
AUUGUUUCUCAGCCUUUUGGCUAAGAUCAAGAGUAGUAUCUGUGCUUAUUAGUGGGUGGGUGCAUUCUAGCUAACGGAGAUAUGGAAGCCACCAUCCACUGAUGGAGGGCAAAGAAGCAUUUGAUCCUCUGGCCAAAUACCCUGUAUUUUUUAUUGCAACCAAG